UACAGAGGGUGCGAGCGUUAAUCGGAAUUACUGGGCGUAAAGCGCGCGUAGGCGGCUUUUCAAGUCGAUUGUGAAAUCCCCGGGCUUAACCUGGGAACUGCAGUCGAGACUGUCUAGCUAGAGUAUGGGAGAGGGAAGUGGAAUUUCAGGUGUAGCGGUGAAAUGCGUAGAUAUCUGAAGGAACACCAGCGGCGAAGGCGGCUUUCUGGGACGGUACUGACGCUGAGACGCGAAAGCGUGGGGAGCGAACAGG
rnacentral:rRNA from 1 species